CAAUUUAGUUGAUACUCAAUAUUAUGUGGCUGUUACAAAUUUAAUGAUUCAUGGACCAUGUGGUACUGCAAGAGUAUCUUCUCUUUGCAUACAAAAUGGCAAAUGUAUAAAGCACUUUCCAAAAAAAUUUGUGGAUUCAACCACAAUUGAUAAUGAAGGGUAUCCUAUCUAUAGAAGAAGGGAUGAUGGAAGAUCUACAAAGAGAGCAGGUGGAUGAGAUUGAAUACAACAUGGUUUGUCAAUUCUAGAAGAAUGACAAAGGAAGUAUUUGGUGUAAGACCAGAUUGUUCUGAAUAUUUUUACUAACUAUAUUAUUGUUUGUUAAUAUACUGAGAAGACUUGAGCACCAUCAGCCUCCCUAUUCUUAUCCUAUGCCGCAACUAUAACUGCCUCUGCUUCAACAACCAUUUGUGCAGCAGAACUGCAACCUCUUAACAUGCCAUCCAUUUCAUCUUAGCGAGAUCUAAAUGUAUUUGAGAUGUAACCAUAAUUAAAUCAUCACAAACAUCUUGGAGAAGAUCCUCUGUCUGCUGUUAAUAAUUGUAAUGGACAGGUUAGUUCCACAGUCAAGAUUCACAAAGUGAUAAUGAAGGAAAGAAAAAUGUGAGUAGGAAACUACAUGUUCAUCUAUAAUUCAUUUUCUUCUAAUUUUAGUUUCAGUCUAUUUUGUAAUGUAUACAAGAUCUUUUAGUUAUGAACAAUUAUUAUAUUAGAUAUUUUUAUAAUGUAAAGAAGAAUA